GAUGAACGCUGGCGGCGUGCCUAAUACAUGCAAGUCGAGCGAACGGACGAGAAGCUUGCUUCUCUGAUGUUAGCGGCGGACGGGUGAGUAACGCGUGUAUAACCUACCUAUAAGACUGGGAUAACUUCGGGAAACCGGAGCUAAUACCGGAUAAUCUUUUGAACCGCAUGGUUCAAAAGUGAAAGACGGUCUUGCUGUCUCUUAUAGAUGGAUCCGCGCUGCAUUAGCUAGUUGGUAAGGUAACGGCUUACCAAGGCAACGAUGCAUAGCCGACCUGAGAGGGUGAUCGGCCACACUGGAACUGAGACACGGUCCAGACUCCUACGGGAGGCAGCAGUAGGGAAUCUUCCGCAAUGGGCGAAAGCCUGACGGAGCAACGCCGCGUGAGUGAUGAAGGUCUUCGGAUCGUAAAACUCUGUUAUUAGGGAAGAACAUAUGUGUAAGUAACUGUGCACAUCUUGACGGUACCUAAUCAGAAAGCCACGGCUAACUACGUG
rnacentral:rRNA from 1 species